rnacentral:rRNA from 1 species
GAUGAACGCUGGCGGCGUGCCUAAUACAUGCAAGUCGAGCGAACAGACGAGGAGCUUGCUCCUCUGACGUUAGCGGCGGACGGGUGAGUAACACGUGGAUAACCUACCUAUAAUACUGGGAUAACUUCGGGAAACCGGAGCUAAUACCGGAUAAUAUAUUGAACCGCAUGGUUCAAUAGUGAAAGACGGUUUUGCUGUCACUUAUAGAUGGAUCCGCGCCGCAUUAGCUAGUUGGUAAGGUAACGGCUUACCAAGGCAACGAUGCGUAGCCGACCUGAGAGGGUGAUCGGCCACACUGGAACUGAGACACGGUCAAGACUCCUACGGGAGGCAGCAGUAGGGAAUCUUCCGCAAUGGGCGAAAGCCUGACGGAGCAACGCCGAGUGAGUGAUGAAGGUCUUCGGACCGUAAAACUCUGUUAUUAGGGAAGAACAAAUGUGUAAGUAACUAUGCACGUCUUGACGGUAACUAAUCAGAAAGCCACGGCUAACUACGUG